rnacentral:rRNA from 1 species
UCCCUUAGUAACGGCGAGUGAACCGGGAAAAGCUCAAAUUUGUAAUCUGGCUGUCUUCGAUAGUCCGAGUUGUAAUCUAUAGACGUGUUUUCCGUGCUGGACCGUAUCUAAGUCCCUUGGAACAGGGUAUCAAAGAGGGUGACAAUCCCGUGCUUGAUACGACCACCAGUGCUCUGUGAUACACGCUCUACGAGUCGAGUUGUUUGGGAAUGCAGCUCAAAAUGGGUGGUAAAUUCCAUCUAAAGCUAAAUAUUGGCGAGAGACCGAUAGCGAACAAGUACCGUGAGGGAAAGAUGAAAAGCACUUUGGAAAGAGAGUUAAACAGUACGUGAAAUUGUUGAAAGGGAAACGAUUGAAGUCAGUCGUGUUCUUUGGAUUCAGCUAGUUCUUCUAGUCUACUUCCAUUGAACGGGUCAACAUCAGUUUUGUCCGGUGGAUAAAGAUAGUAGGAAUGUAGCUCCCCCGGGAGUGUUAUAGACUAUUAUUGCAUACACUGGGUGAGACUGAGGACUGCAGCUCGCCUUUUGGCCGGUCUUCGGACACGUUCGAGCUUAGGAUGUUGACAUAAUGGCUUUAAACGAC